GGGGCUGGCUGAGUGACUGGUGUCCUCCCGGGUCUUCAAAACCCUGCGGGAGACGCGUGCCGUCUUCGGUGGGUUCGAUUCCCACACAGUCCCGCCA
rnacentral:tRNA from 1 species